rnacentral:rRNA from 1 species
GAUGAACGCUGGCGGCGUGCCUAAUACAUGCAAGUCGAGCGAACAGACGAGGAGCUUGCUCCUCUGACGUUAGCGGCGGACGGGUGAGUAACACGUGGAUAACCUACCUAUAAGACUGGGAUAACUUCGGGAAACCGGAGCUAAUACCGGAUAAUAUAUUGAACCGCAUGGUUCAAUAGUGAAAGACGGUUUUGCUGUCACUUAUAGAUGGAUCCGCGCCGCAUUAGCUAGUUGGUAAGGUAACGGCUUACCAAGGCGACGAUGCGUAGCCGACCUGAGAGGGUGAGGGGCCACACGGAAACUAAGACCCGGUCCAGACUCACACGGGAGGCAGCAGGAGGGAAUCUGCCGCAAGGGGCGAAAGCCUGACGGAGCAACGCCGCGGGGGUGAUGAAGGUCUUCGGACCGUAAAACUCUUUUAUGGGGAAAAAAAAAAUGUGUAAGUAACUAUGCACGUCUGGACGGUACCUAAUCAGAAAGCCCCGGCAAACUACGGC